AUUGAACGCUGGCGGCAGGCCUAACACAUGCAAGUCGAGCGGAGUGGCGGACGGGUGCGUAAUGCCUAGGAAUCUGCCUGGUAGUGGGGGAUAACGUCCGGAAACGGGCGCUAAUACCGCAUACUAUCAGAUGAGCCUAGGUCGGAUUAGCUAGGUGGUGGGGUAAGGGCCUACCAAGGCGACGAUCCGUAACUGGUCUGAGAGGAUGAUCAGUCACACUGGAACUGCGCCACGGUCCAGACUCCUACGGGAGGCAGCAGUGGGGAAUAUUGGACAAUGGGCGAAAGCCUGAUCCAGCCAUGCCGCGUGUGUGAAGAGGGUCUUAGGAUUGUAAAGCACUUUAAGUUGGGAGGCGGUACCAGCAGAAUAAGCACCGGCUAACUUCGUGCCAGCAGCCGCGGUAAUUC
rnacentral:rRNA from 1 species